rnacentral:rRNA from 1 species
CGGGGGGGGCAAGCGUUGUUCGGAAUUACUGGGCGUAAAGGGCUCGUAGGCGGCCAACUAAGUCAGACGUGAAAUCCCUCGGCUUAACCGGGGAACUGCAUCUGAUACUGGAUGGCUUGAGUUCGGGAGAGGGAUGCGGAAUUCCAGGUGUAGCGGUGAAAUGCGUAGAUAUUGGAAAGACCACCGAUGGCGAAGGCACUCUACUGGGCCAUUACUGACACUGAGAGACGAAAGCUAGGGGAGCAAAUGGG